GUGGGGAAUCUUCCGCAAUGGACGAAAGUCUGACGGAGCGACGCCGCGUGAGUGAAGAAGGCCUUCGGGUCGUAAAGCUCUGUCAUCAGGGACGAACGGCCGGUGGAGUGGAAAGCCACCGGAUUGACGGUACCUGAGAAGGAAGCCACGGCUAACUACGUGCCAGCAGCCGCGGUAAUACGUAGGUGGCAAGCGUUGUCCGGAAUUAUUGGGCGUAAAGCGCGCGCAGGUGGGAUCUUAAGUCCAUUUUUAAAGUUCGGAGCUCAACUCCGUGAUGGGAUGGAAACUGGUAUUCUUGAGUGUCGGAGAGGAAAGUGGAAUUCCAAGUGUAGCGGUGAAAUGCGUAGAGAUUUGGAAGAACACCAGUGGCGAAGGCGACUUUCUGGACGAUGUCUGACGCUGAGGCGCGAAAGCUAGGGGAGCGAACGGGAUUAGAUACCCGUGUAGUCC
rnacentral:rRNA from 1 species